GAAGCAAAGAUGCUACAGGAGAGAAUGAAAUAUGCCAAGGAAGCCAAGAAAAGCUGAGGGGUUAGGCUAGUUAGCAAGGGGAAGAUGGUAGAUACACUCUGGAAGCAUUACCUAGGGGGAAAAAGUGGACUAGAAGCUGCCAACUGCAAGUUUCCACACCUGGUGGACAAGGGACAUGACCACAAAGAUGAGAGGAACUAAAGGACAACACAAGACGCUUAUCCAGAGGCGAGGUGUAUAGGUGCCUCUCCCUUCCUAGCAUACAGCAAGAUCCCCCAGGCAUAGCUGAGGGGAAAAGGGAAGGGCGGGAGUCUAGGAGUGUACAAAUUCUUCUUAGAGAAUCUAAACAAUAAUAUUUAAAGAAACUAUUUAUGAUUGAAUAGGACUGAGUUUUAAGUGGAUAAGGUUAAAGGUAACUUUUCCCCUACCAAGCAAGAAGUCAAAAAGUAUCAGAUUAUGUAUGU